rnacentral:rRNA from 1 species
GACGAACGCUGGCGGCGUGCUUAACACAUGCAAGUCGAACGGAAAGGCCAGUGCUUGCACUGGUACUCGAGUGGCGAACGGGUGAGUAACACGUGGGUUAUCUGCCUUUCACUCUGGGAUAAGCUUGGGAAACUGGGUCUAAUACCGGAUAUGAACUGCCUUUAGUGUGGUGGUUGGAAAGUUUUUUCGGUGCAAGAUGAGCUCGCGGCCUAUCAGCUUGUUGGUGGGGUAAUGGCCUACCAAGGCGUCGACGGGUAGCCGGCCUGAGAGGGUGUACGGCCACAUUGGGACUGAGAUAAGGCACAGACUACUACGGGAGGCAGCAGUGGGGAAUAUUGCACAAUGGGCGGAAGCCUGAUGCAGCGACGCCGCGUGGGGGAUGACGGCAUUCGGGUUGUAAACUCCUUUCGACAGGGACGAAGCGUAAGUGACGGUACCUGGAUAAGAAGCACCGGCUAACUACGUG